ensembl:snoRNA
ACGCGCUACUGAGCUCCCGCCGCGCCUCCUCGUGGCGCCAGGGGUUCAGCUGCAGCGCCAGGGCACAUUGCUCCUGCAUAACUGGCGCCACCUGCCCAUUACGGGUGGCCCUUUUAACCGCCAGCUACAGGG